rnacentral:rRNA from 1 species
UACAGAGGUCCCAAGCGUUGUUCGGAUUCAUUGGGCGUAAAGGGUGCGUAGGCGGCGCGGUAAGUCGGGUGUGAAAUCUCGGGGCUUAACUCCGAAACUGCAUUCGAUACUGCCGUGCUUGAGGACUGGAGAGGAGACUGGAAUUUACGGUGUAGCGGUGAAAUGCGUAGAUAUCGUAAGGAAGACCAGUGGCGAAGGCAGGUCUCUGGACAGUUCCUGACGCUGAGGCACGAAGGCCAGGGGAGCAAACGGG